GACGAACGCUGGCGGCGUGCUUAACACAUGCAAGUCGAACGGAAAGGCCCUGCUUUUGUGGGGUGCUCGAGUGGCGAACGGGUGAGUAACACGUGAGUAACCUGCCCUUGACUUUGGGAUAACUUCAGGAAACUGGGGCUAAUACCGGAUAGGAGCUCCUGCUGCAUGGUGGGGGUUGGAAAGUUUCGGCGGUUGGGGAUGGACUCGCGGCUUAUCAGCUUGUUGGUGGGGUAGUGGCUUACCAAGGCUUUGACGGGUAGCCGGCCUGAGAGGGUGACCGGCCACAUUGGGACUGAGAUACGACCCAGACUCCUACAGGAGGCAGCAGUGAUGAAUAUUUCACAAUGGGCGGAAGCCUGAUGCAGCAACGCCGCGUGCGGGAUGACGGCCUUCGGGUUGUAAACCGCUUUCGCCUGUGACGAAGCGUGAGUGACGGUAAUGGGUAAAGAAGCACCGGCUAACUACGUG
rnacentral:rRNA from 1 species